AGCUCCAAUAGCGUAUAUUAAAGUUGUUGCAGUUAAAAAGCUCGUAGUCGAAUUUCGGAUGAGACUCUUUGGUCAGCCUUUAUGGUUUGUACUAUCGAGUUUCAUCUUACCUUCUGGGGAUCUAGUGUGCUCUUAACUGAGUGUGCUAGCUAUCCAGGACUUUUACUUUGAGAAAAUUAGAGUGUUCAAAGCAGGCAUUUGCUUGAAUACAUUAGCAUGGAAUAAUAGAAUAGGACUUUGGUUCUAUUUUGUUGGUUUGGGAACCAAAGUAAUGGUGAAUAGAAACAGUUGGGGGCAUCGAUAUUCAGCAGUCAGAGGUGAAAUUCUUUAAUUUGCUGAAGAUCAACUACUGCGAAAGCAUUUGUCAAGGAUGUUUUCAUUGAUCAAGAACGAAAGUAGG
rnacentral:rRNA from 1 species